UGACAAUAUAACAGUAGAACAUUCUGACCACCUGACUAAUACUGUGUUGGUCCCUUUAUGCUGCUAAAACUCCUCUGACCCAGUGGUUCAUCAGAACCUCUGGGGAUCCUGUGGAUUCUGUGGAUCCUGUGGGUUGCAGGGUGGGUCCUACCUAGACCAGGCUGAUCCUGGACCAUCCCACAGAUGCUCCAUCAGAUGUGGAUGUGGGGAGUGUGGAACCCAGAUGUUCAGAGGGAGAUGAUGCCACAUCUGGUCCAGCUGAUGGAAGGUCUUGAAGUUCUCUGACUGGCCUCGACUGAAGAUGGUCGUCUCACUGGAUUUAAGAUGCACAAUGAGGGACGUCUGCAGAGACUGAGAAAGAGUCUCACCACAUCCUGACAUGAGGAAAAAGACUUUAUUGAAGACUGCAAUGAGAAAAACUAUCAGACAGCAGACGGCUGCAUUCAAGUCUGUAGCUGCUGAAUUCAUGGAUGAAUCAUCUGGCACUAGAGAGGAAGACCAUCAAACAUCCACGUCAGCUGAUGGAGGUCCAAGAGUCUCACCCAACAAACAACCUACAGAGUGAAGACCUCCAAUCUGAUUGGACGGCCUCCUAUUCAGCCACGUGCUACAGGAGGAGCCCUACGAGGACGAGCUGGUCCACCUGAUGGAGGCCAGUCGCUGCGGUUCAAAGCCAACACCGACUACGUGGACUUCUACUGGACCACACGGAGGCCUUCAAAAUGGACCAACAAGUUCAGCGACUCCCCGACUCGUGGGUCUGAGGACGCCGCCGAGCCUCGGUCCAGCCGGCCUCCUGUCUGUGGGUGUUUGAGUGCUGAGAGGUUUAUGGAUCCAUGUGAACGUUCUGUGUUGAAACAGCAGCUUUGGACUCAGUAACGCCGGGAAAAACCAAGAGCUCCUUUAUUUGUGACUUCCACUAAAAAAA
ensembl:lncRNA